GACGAACGCUGGCGGCAUGCCUAAUACAUGCAAGUCGAACGCAGUGGGGACGGGUGAGUAACACGUGGGUAACCUCCCAUCAGAGGGGAUAACACUUGGAAACAGGUGCUAAACCGAUACUGAUGGAUGGCCCCGCGGUGCAUUAGCUAGUUGGUGAGGUAACGGCUCACCAAGGCCACGAUCCCUAGCUGAUCUGAGAGGAUGACCAGCCACACUGGAACUGAGACACGGCCCAGACUCCUACGGGAGGCAGCAGUGGGGAAUAUUGGGCAAUGGACGCAAGCCUGACGCAGCCAUGCCGCGUGUGGGAAGAAGGCCUUCGGGUCGUAAAAUUCUGUUAUUGGGGAAGCGUUAUUCACAGAAGAAGCCCCGGCUAACUCCGUGCCAGCAGCCGCGGUAAUUC
rnacentral:rRNA from 1 species